rnacentral:tRNA from 1 species
CACCCGAUGUCUGAAUAAUAAGUAUGGGUCUUUUAAACCUAUUAUAGUAAUACCUACUUCUGGUGA